CUCAUUUUACCAGUACUUGCUAACUGCAAUCGACAGGAGUCGUCGGUAGAGUCCCAUAGGUGCUUUUUUAAUGUUUUCCGAGAGCAGACGCUCAUCGAUGAACAUCAUUGGGCGAGGUGACCGAUACUACCGAAGGAACCUUUGCCUGUUCGAUCGUCCCUACACAACUUUAGGCCCGAACGCUGAUGCAGUUAAGUUUUAACCCUUCCCUUUAAAUAACAUUCCACGCCGAGUAUGCCAAGUCCGGUGAGGAAAUCAUCAAGGCCAGAAGUAGAAGCGGAGGAUAAAGGAGAUAAAUUUAAGAAGCAGUGCCAGGAAACGGAAGAAGCCCUCUCUCAUUAUUCGAUUCCAAUAACUGAUUUCGUCGAACAUUUCCACGGCUAGCCACCUACAGCGUUACCGUUCCUACACAAAACAUCAAACACAGCGUUGUAUUAGGAAAUAUUCCAACAACCCAACCCAACGGCCUAACAACGGAAUCAUUGUUGAAGAGAUGGUAGAGCGGCAUUACUAUAGAUGGCGCACACAAGUUUGCACCGGAAGGGCCCCGAUAGAUCGGAAAAGCAAGAAGUGUUUAGAUUUACAGAAGUUUCCUUCCGAACAACGACGAACGGAACAAUCUAAUCUGAUUUAUCGCGAUGCAGCAGAGUUCGAUCAAGAAUCAAGACUGAUGGAUUUAAAUCUGGACAGGAGUAAAAGAAUAGAUGAUAUCCUAACCGGAAGUCAAACAGCAGAGCAGUGAUUGCAGCCAUUAGGAACUCGGCCUCAAUGUCGAUAGGUAUCUGACACCAAAGGUGCGAAAAAACUGGAACAUACUAUCCGAAACCACAAAUUGUAUCACAACGAUAACAGGAAUCUCAAAGAUUUAUUCAUUUAAAAAAAUUGUUAGCAUUAACUUUAGAUUUCAGCAAAUAUUUAAUACCAUAAGUAUUUUUUUUAAACUUAUUAUGGACAUCAGUUUAUAUUACAUGAAAGCUAUUCGAAAAAUGAUUUGGAUUCGCGCAAAGUAAGACUCGUCUCAUAUA